CGGGAGGCUGAGGCGGGAGAAUUGCUUGAACCUGGGAGGCGGAGGUUGCAGUGAGCCCAGAUCGUGCCAUUGUGUGUAAACAUAUUGAGUUCACCGCCAGACCUUUCAGCAUGUGGCCAAUGUGUCUCCACUUUUUUGAUGUAGGCCAGUUUGAGUUGGACUGUCUGCCACCUGAGCAAGAGAAAUCCCACCUGCCAAGCCUCUCGGCAGACGGUGGUGCAGCCUCCACAGCCUGGUCUUCAGAUUGUAACUCCGGCCCCUCCUCUGAGCUGGAACCCUCUAGAUCAAGUUUGCAAAUCCUGUGAGAGCCCGGGUGGAGCUCCUGACGGUGCACAGAAGCAGCCUGGCACAGUGUGUGAGGAGUCCCCCCAACCCCAGCCUCCCAAAGACACCGUCUGCUGUCACUGAGGGCCGGGGCCACAGCCUCUGCAUCUCCCGAGCUCCAAAAGUUCCUAUGGUUCAACGUUCAUUAUGCUUAACUGACAAUCUGCUGCUAAGCACAGGACUGAGGCUGCAUAGCCAGCGACUGUUCUAGAGGGAUUUCCAUGGACCCCAGGAGUCUGGCAUGGACAUCUGUGGGCCAACACCUGCCUUACCCCUCAGUUGGCAUCCGCAAUGGCCUUGGCACCUCAUUAGGAAAGUUAAGGCAUCCUGAGACCAUCCUGGCUGUCCGUUCCCCCGAAGGGAGCACUCUUUCUGCUGCAGGCAGCUCCCAGUUAUCUGAAACACCAUCAAACCCAAGGUCUAGCAGCUCAUUUCUGGUUUCGAGCUAUGCUUGGGGGACCACUUUCUUGAUUCCAAAAUGUAUUCCGUGGCCUCAAGAAGAAGACAAAUAGAAUCAAUUGCUUUUGUCGCUUUGAUGGAAGCAUUUAAAUGUGAGGUCCUGACUGUGGCAUGAGAGAAAGUUGGACGCCCUGUCCCAGUAACGGUUGUUUCUGAUGAUUCUACACCCCACUCUGUCUCCUCCUGACAACCACAGCCAUCUGAGCACCUGGGGUUCAUGUAAGAACAGGAGAAGUGCAAGCCUCAUUCAUUUAAAUGCUCUUCGAGGAUAUGCCCUAUGUAAAUAAGAAAUGAGUGUGCAAUGAAUUAAGACAGUAUACAUUCAAUUACAGAACCACGAGUUGUGAAAAAUAAAUUAUGAAUAUGCAAAGGAAAA